GUGAGGAAUAUUGGUCAAUGGGCGGGAGCCUGAACCAGCCAAGUCGCGUGAAGGAAGAAGGAUCUAUGGUUCGUAAACUUCUUUUGCAGGGGAAUAAAGUGCAGGACGUGUCCUGUUUUGUAUGUACCCUGAGAAUAAGGAUCGGCUAACUCCGUGCCAGCAGCCGCGGUAAUACGGAGGAUCCGAGCGUUAUCCGGAUUUAUUGGGUUUAAGGGGUGCGUAGGUGGUUUGAUAAGUCAGCGGUGAAAGUUUGCAGCUUAACUGUAAAAAUGCCGUUGAAACUGUCGGACUUGAGUGUAAAUGAGGUAGGCGGAAUGCGUGGUGUAGCGGUGAAAUGCAUAGAUAUCACGCAGAACUCCGAUUGCGAAGGCAGCUUACUAAGCUACAACUGACACUGAAGCACGAAAGCGUGGGGAUCAAACAGGAUUAGAAACCCUUGUAGUCC
rnacentral:rRNA from 1 species